UACGUAGGGUGCAAGCGUUGUCCGGAAUUAUUGGGCGUAAAGAGCUCGUAGGCGGUUUGUCGCGUCUGCUGUGAAAACUCGGGGCUUAACCCCGGGCCUGCAGUGGGUACGGGCAGACUAGAGUGCGGUAGGGGAGACUGGAAUUCCUGGUGUAGCGGUGAAAUGCGCAGAUAUCAGGAGGAACACCGAUGGCGAAGGCAGGUCUCUGGGCUGUAACUGACGCUGAGGAGCGAAAGCAUGGGGAGCGAACAGG
rnacentral:rRNA from 1 species